UAAAAUCUUUUUAGUGAUAAAAUUGUAUAAUUAACUAGAAAUAACUACAUUUAAAAUUUUGAAAAUAUUAUUUUAUUUCUAUUAUUAUGUUAUUUAAUGUCAUAUUUGAAUAUAUUUACUAGGAGUGGACAUUUCGGUUUAAUUACGGGUUCGGUUUAGGUUUGGUUUAGGUUUGGUUCGGUUUGAUUUAUUUGGAUCUAGUAAAACCUUAACCAAAGUCAACCUAAGUUAGCUUGGUUCAGUUUGUGUUUGGUUUGAUUCGUUUUUAAUUUGGUUUCGUUUGUGUUCGGUUUGGUUUGUGUUCGGUUUACUUUGGUUUUGUUUGUGUCUAUUCAGUUCAGUCGAGUUGAUUUUUUAGUUUUUUCUAGUUUAAUUACAAAUAUAAUUUUUAAAACAUAAACCAAUCAUAUUUGACACCAAAUCAUUAUUUUUUAUAUUUAAAUGUAAAAGUCAAACAUCACAAAUUAAAAUGUAAAAGAUGUAAUACAAUAAUGUUAUACUAUUAUUCUCAAACCUUAUAUAAAUUCAUUAGUAAUUUUUGAGUUUUGAUGUUAAUGUAUGAGAUUCAUAUGUUUAUUGUAUUGUUAGUUGUGUUUAUUCUCUUUAUUUAGACGUAAAAUAUAUAAAUUUAUAUUUAGUUGUUUAGGUUAAAUAGUAAAAUAUAUUAAAUUUUAAUAUUAUUUAAUUAUUCAUAUUAAAAAAACCCUUCGAUUUUUCAGUUCGGUUUGUUUUUUUGUCUAUCCCUAAGAUUUAUUUUAAUGAUGAUAUAUAAUUACCUAUCGUAUACUAAAAAGUUUACCAAAAAUAUAAAUAACUGUUAAAUGUAAUUUUCUAUAUCAUAUUAACCAUAAGUCAUGUUAUCAUUUCUAGAAUUUCAGAUUUUAUUUAUCUAGUGAAGUGAUAGUAAAAAAGACAUCUGUCAAAAUAAUUUUGCAAACAAUGUCUAGGAGAUUUGUAAUAAAAAACAUUAAGAGAAAACAAAAUUGAAUAGCAAUAGUAAUAAUUGCAAUUAGUUGCAAUAAUGUUAAUCCACGUACUAAGAGUAUCUAUGUAAUUAAAUUAUAAAAAUAUAUUAAAUAAAAAGGAAACUGAAAAGAAAUAGUAAUGAUUAUAGUUAGUUGUAAUAAUUUCAUUGAUUAAUGAUAUUUAUGUAAUAGCUAUUGUAAGAAUUAAGGUAAACAAAAAUGAUUAAAAAUAGAGUUAUUAUUUAAUUUUUAUUAGUAAAUUUUCGUAAGAAUUCUAGUUAUUUUUGUCAAAAAAAAAAAUUCUAGUUAUUUAACUUUUUGGAGAGUCAAAAUCAUCUAACAUAUUGAAAUGGCCGAGCUGUUGUAGAUUGAUAUUUAAAAAUAGAUAUUGAAACUAAAUGAACAACAUAUGAAGUAAUAGUGAAAUGACCAUGUUAUCAAAUAUUUAAAAUUUUGGUUUAUGUUUAUUUAAUUUUACUUUUAUAUAGUUAGUUAAUAUCACCUAAAAAUACUGUCGUUGUUUGUAUAUUUCAAAGAACUUGUUGCUGUCAAAAUAUAUGAUUAGUAAUUAAUUUUAUUUAAAUAAUACAGGAAAUCUGUACAGGAAAAAAUUCAAAAGAGAAAUAUAUACAGCAAACUAGUUUUAUAAAUUACAGUUACCAAAUAUUUUUACCACAGAAGACAUCAAAUUAUUACAUUUAAUCCAACCCGAUUUUAAAACACAUGCCAGCAUUGAAGCUAUUCUCUCAAAACAUUUUGCAUGUCAUAUUCAGAUAAUUAAUGUGUAGAUUGACACCGCUGGGAUUCUGAUUGUGAUAGAAUGUAUCAAUCAUUUUCAUCAUUAAACAUAAUACCUGAUGUAAGGAUUACUUCUCCAACUUCUUCAUUCAACAUAUUCCAAGGGCACAAAACAUAAUGGCGGACAAACUAGCACGAGGUGCUAGAGACUUGCCUUCUGCUAUGGUUUAUGUUGAUUCAGUUCCACCGAGAUGGCUCUCGCGGCCGGAACCAGUUUAGUUUAGUUUCUUUUGUGAAAAAAAAAAACAUAAUACCUGAUGUAAACAUAAAUAUUAUUUUUUUUCAAAAAAAUAAAAAAAAACAUAAAUAUUAUUUCGCAUUGGUGUUUUUUUUUGCAGUUAAAAAACCAUUAAUACGACUAACGCAAAAUAAUAUACAUUUUAAAUUUACAAUACCAAGCGAAAAACAAAAUCAAAUGAAAAAUAUCUACAAUAGUAUGAAAGCUAUUGUAAUUUAGCGUGCAAUAAAAUUUCUUUAUUUAUAUAACUUUUAAAUAAUUAACAAAUAUUUUCAUAUUUUAGUUAGUUUCUUUAAAAUCUAUAUUAUUGUUCUCGUCUCAUCUUUUGUUUAACUCGUGAAGCUAUUAACGAAGCUACAUGUUUAUAUAGAAUCUCAUUACAUGAUGAAACAAAUUAUAAAAAAUGCCUUUAGUGUUUUGUAUAUAUUUAAAAGAUGCCCUAGGCCAAUGCUUCUUAUUUUCUCAUGUAAGCACGGCACUGAAAGUAUCUCACCAAAUAAUCCAUUUUCUCAAUAUCUUUUUUUCCAUUUCUUUCAUGCAUGACUGUAAUUAGAAAUAAUAAAUAUGGUUGGGUUGGUGAAUCUAAACAGAAGAAAAUACAUUUGAAAAUCAUGAGGUUUAUUUACAAAAAAAAAAAAAAAAAAAAAAAAAAAAAUCAUGAGGCCAUUGACAUGACACAGUGGCUUUCUUUUGAGGUAGAUAUGUGUCUUUUAAACUCGUGUUAUCCGUUUGUUCGGGUGAGCAGAGUUUAUAAUCUCUCAUAAAGCAUGUACAUGGAGGAGCCAUGGCUAUAAAAUAUGCUGAGCUACAUACCGAUAAAUUUGAUGAGUAAUUUUAUGCUUUAAUAAAGUCGCAGAUGCAUGUUGCAUCAGAGAGUGUGCUAUGAAGAGUGCAGAGUGGAUUUAUGAAUAUCUCUUGUGAGGCUAGGCUUAACCGAGUGGAAAGAUAACCAAUUGUGUAAAGAUGAUUAAACAAAUCUUGUAAAAAUUGUAUAAGUGCUUUCUAAUAAAACAUAACAUGUGUUAAUUUCUCGUUGUCUUUUUAUUUAUUUUAUCCACAACUAUUUUGUGUUGUAUUUUGCACUUUUAAUACGAAUCUACUACAGAUGAGUUUAUGCAUAUAUUCUUUUCCUUUUUAGUGCUACAGUUUAUGCAUAUAUUCAAGCUCAAUUCUUACCAUCAUACUACCACCGUUUGGUUAAGAAAUUCUAUUGUUACCAAAGAAAACGAUUACGUUGUUUUAUGGCUUUGCUUAUAUGACCACUACGAGUCUAGAUUUAAGAUGCAAGACCAUUAUAGACUAACGAAUGCAUUGCUAACAGUAUGGUGUAAGACUAUUACAUUAUAUUCACUUUAGGUCUCAACCAUACCCCUAAUAGAAAACAAUUAUCUCUAUUUUUUUUUUUGUAACAGACAAUUAUCUCUAUUAUUGCAUUGUCCGGCCUCUUUUUUUUGGGAUUUACGUUCACGUUUAUAUAACAGCUAGUUUGAUCAAAUAUGGAAAACCUUCUGAUAGUACUAAUCAUUUAAUAAUGUUAUGCGUUUAUUGGUUCACUUGCAAUUUGACGGUAGAGAAUAACGAUUAGAGUUUGUGGUACCACAACCACCGUUUUAUAUACGUGUAUCAAAUCUAUAACUAUAAAAUGGUAAACAUAUAAAAAUUAAUAGAAUAGAAUUUUCUGAGAUAAAAUAAAUGGAAUAUAAAAAUAGAAUAUAAAAUGUAUUCAAUUAAUUUAUCGUCAAAUUGCAGUAAAAAAGAUUUUUCUUUUUAUUUUGUUUCUUUUUGAAGAAUUAUCGAAAUGAUUAUUCGAUUUCAUUUAACUUAAAUUGUUACUAAAAUAUGUAAAAUUAAUAAAAUUAUUUAUUUUCAUUAUAUAUUUCAUAAAAACGAGGAAAAUGAUUGAUGGCUACAUGAAUGAAGUAUUGGUCAUCACAUGACUAACAAUGCAAACUAAACUAAUAUAUACCUAGCCACACGAAGUAUAUGUUAUGUAUGACAACAUCUCUCAACUUUAUGAUGUUAUGUAGUUAACAUCCCGAGUUUAAUUUCAUUCAUCCAAAAACUGAUGCGGAUGUUAGAAAACGUUUAAAUAUCUUGUUUUAAUAAUUAAAAUAUGAUCGAUCCGACUAUAAUUUAAUUACAACUAGAUUUUGACCCACAUUUUUAAAACCUAAGAAUAUUUUUAACAAAAUCUAAUUUACAAAAUCAAUAUUUUUAAUAUUUUUUAUAAGUAGUGUUUUAACAUUUUUAUUUUAGUGUAUUUAAAAAAUAUAUAAUUGUAUUAUUUUUAUUUAUAUUAAUAUGUUUUGUUAUGAACUUUUAAUAAGUAACUUUUUAACAUUUUUAUUUUUUUGUUUUAACAUUUUUAUUUUAGUGUAUUUUAAAACUAUAUAAUUGUAUUUUUUUAUUAUUUAUUACUCUGUUUUGUUUUUAAUAAUAUUAAUCUUUUUGUUAUCAACUUUUAAUAAUAAAAAUUGUAAUUUGUGUGAUUAAUUGUGUGAUAUAUACUUCUUUGAUAAUUUUUAAUCAUGAAACUUAUUUUCUGUCAAUUUUUUAACUUUAACAUUUUAUUUUCUUAAAAUUUAUGUGAUGUCAACUUAAACCAAACAUAAUCUUGCAUAUAUAAUUAUACAUUAUAUAUUUUUAAGAAUAAAAAUAAUCAAAGAAUAUGAAUCUAAUGUGAAAGUUUUACUAAGUUUAAAUGAAUGGAAUUUUUUUUAUGAAAAAUAUAUAAAAUAGUUCAAUAGCUUAAUAAAUAAUUUCAUAUCAAACAAAUAAAAUAAUAGAGUCAAUAUAUUGACAUCAAAGAAGUUUUAUAAUAAUUUUUUUUAUCAGAUAAGUAUAUUUCACACAGUUAAUCAAACGAAUUACAGAAAUUUUAUUAAAAGUUCAUACCAAAACAGAUUAAAAGAAUUAAAAAACUAAAUUAAAUAAUAUCUUCUAUAAUGUUUAUAUUUAAUAAAAAUAAAAAUAAUAUAAUUAUAUUGAUUUCAAAUACACUAAAUAAAAAUGUUAAAACACUACUUAUCAAAAUUUAUAGAACAUAUUGAUUUUGUAAAUUACAUUUUGUUAAAAAAUAUUUUUACGUUUUUAUAACACUUUAGGUAAAUUACCGUCAGGUACGUAACAUUUCAAUUGAUGAAACGAGAGAUUUAAACGGUCUCCAACAUACACAUCAUUUUUUGGAUGAAUGAAAUUAAACUCGUGAUGUUAACUACAUAACAUCAUAAAGUUGAGAGAAGUUGUCAUGCAAAAUAUAUACUUCAUCUAGCGAAGUAUACAUUUGUUUAGUUUGCAUGGUUAGCCAUGUGAUGGCCACUACUUCAUGUAGUCAGCAAUCAUUUUUCCUAAAAACAAUCUAACAGCAGCCUAAGAAAUUUUAUUGUGGAUGAAAUUUUAUUAUUGUGUAUCUUUGUGACUGAAUCAUAGAAAAAGCAAAAUUAUCUCUUCUAUUUUUCAGAAGUAGGGUUAAUUCGCUCUACGGACGGGUAAAAAUGUGAAAAAUUAAUAGAAAAUAAAUUAAAUUGUAAAAUAUAUUUAAAAUAUUUAAUAAACUCUCAACUGAAGAUAAUAUUAAAAUUACUAUUUUGUUUCUUUUAUUGAAAAUACAAGAUUGAUAAAAAAAUAAAAUAUUAUCAUAAAAUAAUAGGUUUAUUUAUAUUUUCAACGUGUAAUACAUUAUGAUAAUCAGUAAGUAAAAUAAAAUUACUUAAAGAGAAUCAAAAUAUAAAUUAUUUUCCCAUCUUAUUCUUUGUUAUUGUAUCCAUUGAGACAUUUAAUUUUUCUUAUACCUUUUCUUUUAAAACUAUUGGUUUAGCUACUACAAAAAGGAAAUAAUCGAUUCACUGUAAAAAACAUUAAAAAAACAUUUCUAGAUAGUAUUAUAAUCUCAUAUUAAUCAAUACAAUUAAAAAUUUGAAUACUUAUUUUAAAACUUCUACAAAUGAACUGCACAAACCAAACUGAUUAUAAUUUUCAAAAUAUAUAUUUUAUUCAGUUUUCAGACUAGAAUUAGUGAUGGUUUUAUAUAUUCUCUUACCUUUUGUAUUUAUUUUCUAUUGGUUUUAUUAUACAAUAAAUUAUUUAUAUAAAAUAUUUAAGAUAUUUUAUUAUUAUGAAAAAAUAUUUCUUAUUAAAUAUUUUAGAUUUAAUUGAACAUAUAUAUAUAUAUAUAUAUAUAUAUAUAUAUAUAUAUUGUUGAAAAAUUUAUUAUGUACUAUAAUUUUGGAUCAAUUAACAUUCAGUUAUCAAAUCAUUUGGUUAAAUAUAAAAUUUAAAGUAAAAGGUAUAAAAAUAAAAAUAUAUUAGUAUAUCAAGUUAAAAAAAUACAUUAAAUUGAAAAAUAAAUUGACUUUACGUUAUAAAAUGACAAAUAACCUUUAAAGUCUGAUGAUAAAAAAACAUUUAAAAUCUACAUAUAACUGAUUUAAAAUGAAAUUGAUUAUUCAUUUAAGAAUAUAUAUAUAUAUAUAUAUAAAUUUAAAAUUAAAUAUUAAAAUAGUUUAAUAUACAUAUAAAUGAUGAAUACCUAAAAGAAGAACAUAACUCUUUAUAUCUAAACUAGGGAGAGGUCCGCGCUACGUGCGGGUUGUAUUUUGUUUUUCUGUCAUUUUUUUAAAAUUGUUUGUGGUGGUUUUGUAUGCAUUAUUAAUUGCUGAUUAAAUUUUUUCUGCGAAUUUGAACGUUGUUGGUGUACUAGGUUCAGAGCCGUAUCUAUUCACUUAAAAAGAAAAAAUGGUUUAAGGCAUAUAAUGUAGAAAAAAGGUUGAAGGCAUAUAAAACUUAGGGGCACAUACAAAAUGCAGAGUUAAACCAUACCUAUUUUACAUAUUAUAAUCUUUAUUUCUUUGUAUUAAUUAGUUCACACACUUAUUUCUAUUUAUUUUCUUACCAUAUCAAAUCUUAUUUUUCAAUAAUAUUUUCUUAGUUAUUUUCUUUUAUCUCAUUUUUAUAUUUAUUAUACAAAUUAAAUUUUAAUUUAAAGUAGCAUAUGUUUUUAAUCAUAGUUUUAUAUAAACUCAUGUGUGUUUUGUAAUAUUUAAACAUGUAAUAUGCAUAUUUCUAUGUGUUUUAUAAUAUUUAUCAAUUAAUUUAUAGUUUUUUAAAUGUGAUUUAUUUAUUAAGAAAUUUAUAUACAUUUUUUAAAGAAGAAAUGUAUAUACAUGAAACUAUAUUUUUGGCUUAUGGUAUAAGAGACUUUAAGCAAGGUCAAGGUCUAUGUUGGUUUUGGAGUGUGAGGUGGUGGUGUGUGGUGAGUUGUUUGUAUCAAUUUGUGGUUGAGAGAUGUCGUUUCUGGUAUGCAUUUGGAUGUUCAAGUAUUAGUAUGGUGGAGUUUUUUUGUUGUAUAUAUAUAAGAGAAAAUUGGAUAAAUAGGACACUUUGAACUUGGAUUUGUCACAUUAGGAUUUCUAGAAGAUAUUUUAGGAAAAUAGGAUUUUAGAUCUUGUAAAAUACCAAAGUACCCUUAAUUUACCAAUUAUGUUGAAUUUAAAUUAUAAAUUAUAAUAAUUUUCGUAAUAGAUUUUAAUGUUAAAAUUAAAAUCUAUAAAAAUUAAAAAAUAAAAAAAACACUAAAUGGGAAAAAAGGAGACGCGGGAUGCCGCAAACCUAAUUCCCCUUUCUCUUUGUCUUCUCCGUCGUAGACUCGUCGCUCUCCCACGGCGAUUUAGGGUUCAACGGUGAGAAGCUCUGUUCUUCGUCGGUGUUUCAUCAGCCCGUGGUCUCUACUCUCGUCUCCGUCACCAUCCUUUUCGAUCUCACUGAAGACACAACGGCUGCGAAUCGUUCUUCCUCUUCGUCGGGUCAAAUCGAUUUUCGAAGUGUUCUUCCAUCAAUUUCGCCUCUCAAUCUCACAAUUCUUCACAGAAGGUAUUGGAUUUCAUCUAUAGAUUCUCAUAUUAAACGAAAUCGAAGUGUUCUUCCAUUAAAGCUUGAUUUUUUUUUAAAAUGAUUUGCCGUGUUUCUUAAAAUAAUUUUGUUUCACGGAUUGGUUGAUAUUAUUGAAACCUUUACAUGUGUGAUGAUAUUGAAACCUUUACAUGUUGAACUAAUAAUUUUGUCACGGUUUGUAGCUAUGUCUGAGGAGCUACCGAAGAGGCUUUUUAAGGAGGGCGAGGAGCCCCGAGUUACUCAGAUCAACAACAACUGCAGGAUCGACUACAUAAUCCGAAAGUUCCAAGCGUGGCUGCCAAAGGAGUUGGAUGUCGUGAAGAAAGACCCGGUUUUUCAUCAGAUUUUUAAGCUCCAUGAGAAUGGUCUUGGAUACUCUGCGAGGGUGAUACACAGCUUCUUGUGUAGGGAGCUGGUGACUUUCUUACAGCACGAGCUAUGGUUUGUCUUUGCGAGGAGACCGCUUCGAUUCUCAUUGCAAGAGUUCCACGCCGUAACCGGGUUUGAAUGCGAUACUCACAUUUCGAUUGAGGAGUUUGAAGAGUGGAAAUAUGAUGGUGGUUUCUGGAGCAAGGUUUUGAGGAGAAAAGAUGGAACAAUUACACUCUUCAACCUGUGGACUAAGGACAAGGAAGCUGUAAAGAAAUGGAAGAAUGCAGAUCGCAUACGUCUUAUCUACUUGGCGAUCAUUCUUUGUGUGGUAUUGGCGAGAGAUGAGAAGGCUAAUAUCCCCCUGAAGUACAUCGCGGUGGUCAUGGAUCUUGACAGAGUUCGAAGGUAUCCUUGGGGAGUUGCUGCUUAUGACCUUCUCUGCAAAUCCAUAGCCAAAAAUCGUUCCCAACUGAAGGAAAAGACCACUAGCUAUGUCUUGGAUGGCUUCUCAUACGCCUUGCAGAUUUGGGCAAUGGAAGCGGUGCCAAAAAUCGGGAAGCUUUGUGGAAAAAAGCUGGAUAAGGGUUUCAAGGACGGUCCUAGAUGCAUAAACUGGAUGGGAGCUGCGAAGGUGUCAUAUGAGGAGAUCAUUCGCUUGGAGGAGAUUAUUACACCCAAGGAUGACAUCUACCCAUACAUCUCAUGGACAGGAAAUUAUGAUGUUGUCAAAGCUCAGGCGUUUCGCAGAGAUGAUGAUGUGGAGGAUGACAGAAUCAAGGUUCUGAUGGAGAUGAUAAAGAAGGGGCAUGAUUUUAGUGAGCAUGUUUGGGAAACUGAAGAAAAUGAAGUGAUUUCUUUAUCUCUCGAUGACGAAUCAGCUGUGAAUGAUGAAGCAAGCGUGAAUGUUGAAGCAGCCGAGAGUGAUGACGACUUUCAGACUCCGAAAGGAUCAAAAAACGUUGGUUCUAGAUCAAAGAGGGGUAAAAAGAGGCUUCCCGAUCGUGGUAUGGAGAAGAGAAAGCAUAAGGUUCUCGCAAGUGGCGCAAAGCAAGCUCCUUUUAAUGAAGACAUGAAGGCUUUUAUGACACAGUUGUUUGAGCACAACUUCUCUGGAAUGGAACAAAGGAUACAGAAACAGAUGGCCGAGACAUUUGAGCAGAUGCGGACAGAGCUUAAACAAUCACGUAAGGAAGCCAGCGUUGAAGUUGAGCUUGGAGAGCCUUCACCGACAAAGCCAUCGACGAGCCAGGCACCGUUGAGGAGGUCCACACGCGGGGUAAACAAACACUAGUCUUCACCAUCCUCUUCAAUGUUAUUUUGUCUUGUUUAAGUUCGUGGUUUGCGUGUCUGUUUGUUUUAUUGGCAUCUAAGUUAUCGGCCUGAAUUUUGUUGUACUUUAUAAGGUCUCGGUUUGUAUGUGUGCUUGGUGUGUAAGUGUUCUUGGUUUGUAAGUGUCUUGUUUGAACUUAUGUAAUGGUCUGGAACUUUUAUGUAAAAUAAUUAUUAAUGAUAAUGUAUUUUGGUAUCUCAAUUAUUGCUUAUUUGUCAUGAAAUAACAGGAUGGUUCCGAGACUACAUUCGAUGUGAAUUAUAGUGAAGCAGAUGAUUUGGGUCGCGGGAUAGGUACACAAGGGGUUGAAGGGCUUUCUCAGACGUCGUAUGUGCCAGGCUUUGAUCCAUCUCAGGACAAAAAAGAAGAAGACUGGUGGACUCCAAUGACUUCGGUCCGAGGUUCAGUGGAUAAUCCAGUAAAGAAAGAAAAGACAGAGAUGAAUACAGCUCCACCGCCGUCACAGUGGGAGAAAUGGUGCAAAAGAAAAGGUCAUGGACUUCAGCUUAGCGAUUCACCAUUGCCAGAAGAUGCUUCUCCGCAGGCGUCACUUUAUUAUAUCUCCGAAGAGUCAUGGAAAGGAUUCACGGAAUGGGCAUUAAAGCCUAUACCUUUAACAAUUGGUCCUACAUGCUUUAAUUUGUCUGUAGCUACAAGAGUAGUAAGUGCUGGAAAAUGGCUUGGAAACGAGGUAAUGAAUCUUGUACUAACCUUUAGUGAAUUUAUCUUCCUAACACUUCUUAUAUGCUAUAUUACUUAACUUUCAUUGUAAAUUUUUAGGAGAUGGAUGCGGUUAUGUUUAUAUGGCGUGUGAACACUACAUUGAAUCGUUGGGCCCCUCGGCGUGUUGCUUUCAUGAGUGCUAUGUUUUGCCUCCAAGUAGACGCUGCAUACAAGAAGUUUUUACCAAACAAAAAAGCCUAUCAAUUGCCUGAUUUCCUUCUUGGGUACGGCAGAGGAGAGCUUCCAUCUCAUGGGCGGACUGAUCUAGUUUGGGGUGUUGAUGUUGAUCGACUCUACUUUCCUCUGUUUGUAAAUGGUAACCAUUCAGUUCUUUUUACAUCCUAGUAUACAUUUCUUCGUUUACAAAUUUUUGUGGACACGAACGCAGGUAAUCACUGGGUUGGUGUCUGUGUAAACAUCAUUGAAAGAAAAGUAGAAGUCUUUGAUUGCGGUCGGGGAAAGAACAGACAGUACGUUGAGAAGUUUGCUGCUAUCAUUCCUAGGAUUGUGAAGUCCGUUGCACCACAAGAAAGACAGAAGCAGCUACUCCUCUCAUCAUAUUCUAUCGUGGAUGUGCCUAUGAAGUUGAGAUUGAAUAAAAGUUGUUGUGAUUGCGGUGCAUACGCUUUGAAGCACUUGGAAUGCUCGCUGCUUGGUCUUGACGUCAGUUUAGUGGAUGAUGAAAUCAUUAUGGGUUGUAGACAGAAGAUUGGAGUGGACUUAUGGGAGGCUGCACACGACCCCAUCUUUGCUGAGGUUAUGACACGAUAUGUGCCUUCACCAUGGGAGAGGUCUGAGGUCUUUGACCUGGAGGAUGAUUGAUUAACUGUGAUUUUAGUAGUUUGGUUUGUUAGAAUUAGAAAACAACUUUGGCUUUGGUAUUUGAUUUGAAUUAAGAAACAACUCUAGCUUUGAUUUUGUAUAAAUUAUGAAACAACCCUAUAAAGAACAAAAUCAUAAAAACUGAGGACCCAAACCCUAAACAAACCCUUAACUAAAACCAUAACCAUAGACAUACCCUAACCAAACCCUUAACUUAAACCAUAACCAUAGACAUACCCUAACCAAACCCUAAAACCAUAAUACAAUCAUGAUUCUUAAUCAUACCCUAAACAAACCCUAAAUCUGUAAUUCAUAGUCAAACCCUUAACCCUAAAUAAACUCUAAAACCAUAACCGUAGACAUACUCUAACCAAACCCUUAACUAAAACCAAAUACAAAUUAAUCCAACGCCUCAAACACACACCUAUUUAUUGAUUAUUUUUGUACAUUGGUCACUAUCUAAGUACGUCCGUCCACUAUGUUUGAUAGAUGUUUAAACACUAAUUUAGAGGGUUCAAAGACAAAGUUCUUGUGGUGUUAUCGAUAAAUUCAAAAUGAUUUUUUUCUGCUCUGCCUUAGCUAGAAUACGCGUUCUGGGAGUAUGAAACGACGUAGUUUUGGUUAUUUUUUUGACCUAAUCUCUUUUCUUCCUCAUUCUUCCUCGACAGAGAGAUUGCAGCGGCGAAAAUUUGGAGAUCGACUCCCUCAUGUCUUCAGUAAAUUCUUCAUCCACUACAAGAGAUCGCCUCGCGAAACAACGGGGAAUUCCCACAAGAUGCAAUUGCGGUGAGGCAGUGAAUCGUUUCACUUCAAAAACAAUUCAAAAUCCGGGAAGAUUAUUUCAUUGUUGUCCUUUGGGAUCUCAAAAGGACAAAACCCACUUGUUCAAAUGGACUGACAAGUCAGUUGUUGAGGAGAUUGAAGACUUCCAAGACCUGUUUGACGUGUUACUCGUUGACAAUUCCGAGUUUCAGAAAUCAGUGAGAGCUGGUGAGGCCAUGAUGACACGCCAUGAGAGUAGAAUUCAAGAGAUGGAAGAUGCAAUGUGCCAUUGCGAAGAGAAGACCUUGGAAUGCAUUAGGGAACUUAGGGGCAUAAAAGCUUUGUUUGUGUGUUGUUUGGUGAUGGUCUUCUUGUACCAUAUCUAUGCAUGAUGUUCAACUACUUUUAUGUGCUUCCUCAACUUGUUGUUUCUUAUUUUCAAAGAAGUUAAGACCAUGUUUCUUGUUAUUUCGAGGUGAUCAUCAUCUACUGAAACGAAUUAUUUUGCAAUUACUUUGAUUGUUACUAGAAUAAAUCGAUUUGUCUCUAUAGUUUAGCAAAUACCAAAUUGUCAAAUAGGUUCUUAAACAGAAGAUCAAAUUGUUUCAAAAGCAAUAA